rnacentral:rRNA from 1 species
UACAGAGGGUGCAAACGUUGCUCGGAAUUAUUGGGCGUAAAGCGCACGUAGGCGGUCUUUUAAGUCGGAUGUGAAAGCCCCAAGCUCAACUUGGGAAGUGCAUACGAAACUGGAAGACUUGAGUAUGGAAGAGGGUCGCGGAAUUCCCGGUGUAGAGGUGAAAUUCGUAGAUAUCGGGAGGAACACCAGUGGCGAAGGCGGCGACCUGGGCCAAUACUGACGCUGAGGUGCGAAAGCGUGGGGAGCAAACAGG